GGAGCGGGUUCAUGAGCUCGGCGCCGACGAGCGCGGAUGAGCCCCGCCCGGCCCAGCGCUGGGCGCGGAGUCCCUGGGGCCCUGAGGGUGUCCGGGACUCCGGAGACCACGCGGCGAACCCCUAGCCUCCGAGUCCAGCAGGCGAGGGCCCGCCCCGGGGGCGGUGCUUCCCAGGCCACGCCCCUGGCGAUGGGGAGGGUCCCGGCGGAGGCGGCGGGGGAGGGAGUCCCUGACAACUUAAGUCCCCCAACGUGCCGUUACUGCCCCCCAACAAGAAACAGGUGCUGACCCUGCCCGCCGACGCUCACCCUCACCCAGGACACAGUGAUGACCUUCACAGAACAACCAGGUUGGGGACACCCGCUGGCUCCUGGUAGAACACAGCCCCUGAGCCCAGCCUCACCCGCCUGAUCACAGUAGCCCAGUCCCAUGAGCGUCCCAGGAAUAAACUUGAA